rnacentral:rRNA from 1 species
AUCCGGUGGGAAGCCGGGAGGACCACCUCCCAAGCCUAAAUACGAAUUGGUGACCGAUAGCGCAUAGUACCGUGAGGGAAAGGUGAAAAGAACCCCGGGAGGGGAGUGAAAAAGAACCUGAAACCCUGUGCUUACAAGCAGAGAGAGCACGAUCAAGUGUGAUCUCGUACUUUUUGUAGAACGGACCGGCGAGUUACGUUAUGCAGCGAGGUUAAGGACUGAAGGUCUGGAGCCGAAGCGAAAGCGAGUCUGAACAGGGCGGAUAGUUGCAUGACGUAGACCCGAAACCGGGUGACCUAUCCAUGGGCAGGUUGAAGUGGAAGUAAAAUUUCAUGGAGGACCGAACCAGACGUCUGUUGAAAAAGGCGGGGAUGACCUGUGGAUAGCGGAGAAAUUCCAAUCGAACCCGGAGAUAGCUGGUUCUCCUCGAAAUAGCUUUAGGGCUAGCCUCGCAUUAGUUUACCGGAGGUAGAGCACUGAAUGGUCUAGGGGGCCUCACCGCCUACCGAAACCUAUCAAACUGCGAAUGCCGGAUAAAUGAUGUGCGGGAGUCAGGCCGCGAGAGAUAAGUUCCGCGGUCAAAAGGGGAACACCCCAGAUCGUCUGCUAAGGUCCCCAAGUACGCGUUAAGUGGGAAAGGAUGUUGGAUUGCACAGACAACCAGGAUGUUGGCUUAGAAGCAGCCACACAUUCAAAGAGUGCGUAAUAGCUCACUGGUCGAGUGAUCCAGCGCCGAAAAUGUAACGGGGCUAAAACGCGACACCGAAGCAGCGGGAUGCGUAAGCAUCGGUAGAGGAGCAUUGUGUGAGGAUAGAAGCCAGAGCGGGAGCACUGGUGGACUUCACAGAAGAGAGAAUGCCGGUAUGAGUAGCGAGACCCAUGCGAGAAACAUGGGCGUCGAAGGCCCAAGGUUUCCUGGGGAAGGUUCAUCCACCCAGGGUAAGUCGGGACCUAAGCCGAGGACUGAGGUCGUAGGCGAUGGACAGCAGGUAGAGAUUCCUGCACCACUUACACUUGUUUGACGAAGCAGUGACACAGAAGGAUAGGACGAGCGCGGUGAUGGUCAACCGCGUAGGCGGCACGAGGCCGGGGAGCAGUGAAGUACACUUCCCGCAAAGGCUGAGUGUUGACAGGACCGAAAAGAAGUAGGGAAGCGUCCGAGUUCACGCUGGCGAGAAAAGCUGCUAAGGAGAGUGUGAGUGCCCGUACCGGAAACCGACGCAGGUGGGCGAGGAGAGAAUCCUGAGACGGACGGGAGAACUCUUGUUAAGGAACUCGGCAAAAUGACCCCGUAACUUCGGGAGAAGGGGUGCCUCGAAAGAGGCCGCAGAGAAUUGGCCCAAGCAACUGUUUAGCAAAAACACAGGUCUAUGCGAAACCGAAAGGUGAGGUAUAUGGGCUGACACCUGCCCGGUGCUGGAAGGUUAAGGGGAGUGCUCAGGAGCAAUCCGAAGGUGCGAACUUAAGCCCCAGUAAACGGCGGCCGUAACUAUAACGGUCCUAAGGUAGCGAAAUUCCUUGUCGGGUAAGUUCCGACCC